UACGGGGGGGGCAAGCGUUGUUCGGAAUUACUGGGCGUAAAGGGCUCGUAGGCGGCCAGCUAAGUCAGACGUGAAAUCCCUCGGCUUAACCGAGGAACUGCGUCUGAUACUGGAUGGCUUGAAUCCGGGAGAGGGAUGUGGAAUUCCAGGUGUAGCGGUGAAAUGCGUAGAUAUCUGGAGGAACACCGGUGGCGAAGGCGGCAUCCUGGACCGGUAUUGACGCUGAGGCACGAAAGCGUGGGGAUCAAACAGG
rnacentral:rRNA from 1 species